CCAGUAACCCAGUACGAUUUCCUGCAAAUUCCAAAGGCAGAUCCCUGCUGGAACAUUUCAACCCGCCUGCCACGUCAGUUUGCUUCCACCAUCCUCCCUCGCUCCUUCUCCUCUUCUGCUCCUUCUCUUUCUCUCGCUCUUUCCGCCACAGAGGACUGGUCAAAACUGAACGGUACUAGUUGUUUUGAGGCGUAGUCAGAGUGACAGGUUAAAGGUUUGUCUUCAGCUCUGGUCAGCGGUAUCUUUUGAAGCUCUGUGUUUCGCUGAGAGAGGGGACAUCUUCGCCAAGGCCUGGGCUGCUCUGACCGAACUAAUGGGCAGUGACCUGCAGCCGGAGCGACCCCGCGGACCUUCCCCCCUCCUCACCCCCCCGCCUGCCCAGUGUUCAGACUACCUGUUCAUCAGGCUGAAGCUGAACAGUAGUCUGCACAUUGGUUAGGCUGGGCCGGGACACACACACAGGACACAUCUAACUACCAGCCAGCAGGGGCUCUGGUGAGAGGCUCUGGCCGGGUCUGAUUCUCCACCAUGACAAUGAGAGGGAGGAGGGAGCAUGCAAUGCAGAUCAUAUAUCAGCCCAUGGAGUAGUAGCAGAAUCUUUCUGACAGUUUGUAUUGUACUAUUUUGUGUUGUACUUAUCCCAGCGUUAGACACUCACCUCCUCAUCCUUGUACCAGGAUAGUGACUCUGCGGUCAGGACGAACCAGUACUCCUUGGAGCCUCCCUUCAUGAUGCUGAUGUUGAUGGUGAGCCAGCCUUUGCGGAUGACCUGUUAGGGGAGAGAUAGGGGUGGGGGAACAGGGGAGCGAGGGGUGGUGGGGGACAAGGUAUACCAGGAGGAUGGAGGGAAAACAAGUCAUUAAAGUACUCAUGAUUUACCUCCUGGAGAUCUUGUGAUAUGACUAACUUAACUGACCAAUAAAAACCUUACCUGGGUA